GGGGAAGGUUAGAUAGAUCUGUCGAGACCCAGGAUUCACAAGUCCGUCGUAGUCGAAUCUAGCCAGACGUGAUCUCCCGAGAAACUUCUGUGGAUCUUCUCCUCCCAGCAUCAGCGCCGCUGCCACCGCCGCUGCAGUUCUGUUUCGAAUUGUUUUAAACUUAAAUAAUGUUAAAUGAAAAUACGACAUGGAAAUUUCUUUUCUUGGUUCUGUUUUUGACUUACCUUUGGUUUUCAGUCUGCUGCUGCUGCUGGAGCAAGAAGUUCAUGGACUUGGCCGAAGUGAAAUCAGCCGAAGUCAUCAUUUUCGAUGAAGCGACGCAUCCAAAUGUCUGACUCUUGGUCAGACCUUCUAACUUACUCCCCGGAACUUGGACUUCGUCCGGU
rnacentral:lncRNA from 1 species